UCAGCCAAGCCUCCGGAGCAUAGAACUUGGGAGGAGAACAGAGCCACGCCUUCCUCCUGGGGGUGGGUGUUGCAGACACCUCAGCCCUCCUGUCAGCCUUUUUCUGGUCUGGACCUCUGCUUCCUCCUCCUGAAGGUUCUGGAGGCCAGCUGCUGGGGACCCCACCUGAAUCGGGCAGCAACCCAGAGUCCACAACCUACUCCACAGAUGAGCCCGGGGGGAUCUGUGCAGGACUAUGGAAAGAGGCUCAAGGCCAAUCUCAAGGUCAUACUACAGGUGAAAAGUGGAAGUGGGGUGCAAUACAUUGGAGCUGGGCCCAAAGGUGCCCUAGACCCAGAGGCAGGCCUUUGUGUCCACCUUUCCACACUAUAUGCAGGCACAGGCAGGGCCCCUGUGUUGGUCAGGGCUUGACUUCCAAGUGGUACUCAAAGAUAGCCUUUGCCCUCAGUCUUGUUCACAGUCAGGUUUGUGCAUCUUACCUUGCGCUGUCAUUUAGAGUGGGGUCUCUUUUAUCCUCCCUGUCCCAGGCUGAGCCAACACUGGGCAGCAGACUCCAGCCUCCACGAAGACCCUUGUCCAAGAUGCCCACCACAGGUCCACCCAGCCCAAGGACUGCCCCCACUUCUCCAGAAGAAGUCAGUGGUGGCACACUUCCCCAGCCAUCCGAGCCCAAGCGAAGUUCAGGCCGGCUCCAGCAGCUUCGGGCAUCUCUGAGUCUGCGGCUGGGCUCCCUAGACCCUGGCUGGCUUCAGCGGUGCCACAGUGGACCCUUAGAUUUUCUGAAGCCCCCCAGUGCCUACAGUCCUGGCCUGGGUAGAAAGGAGUCACAACACCUGAAGUCGGAAGAGUUUCUUGUCUUUGGUCCCAAUACUUGCUCUGAGGAAUUCUCACAAGGUCCAGAGACUCCAGCCCCACAGGCAGCCCAAAAUGGUAUGGGGAGCCCUCAGCCCAGCAACCCUCAAGGCAAGAAGCCAAAGUGGAGUGAGAAUGGAGGGAGUCCUGUGCAGUCCCAGCAGGACAUCAGCCAAACAGGACCCUUGUCUGAGGGGACAGGGGCUGUAGCACUUGAAGAAGACCUUCCAGGGCAACCUGUACAGGCCCAGCCAUCUCAGCCCUGUAGCAGUUCUUCAAGUCCAUCUAGGACAAAGAAGCGUAAGGGGAUGGCCCAUACGUUGUCCCGUAGACCAGCUGUCCAGGACAGAAGUAACUAUGUCCGGCUCAACAUGAAGCGCAAACGUUAUGUGUGGGGUGGGGCCCUUCGAGGUAGGCUCCUCCGCAGGCAGGUGAGAUGGGCAUAGCAGGACAAGGGUGGGCCUUCCCCAUACCUCUCCCAUCUCCCUUUUAUGUGAUUCUCUCUUGUGCGCCCUCCUCAGGCAUGGAAACAGAAGUGGCAGAAGAAAGGGGAGUGUUUCGGGGGUGGUGGGGCCAGACCCCCAGCCAAGGAUUCUUGUUUCCAGUCUGGGCCAUUUGGCCGCUGGGUUCCCCAGUGUUCCAAGCCAGGUGAGGGCCUCCACCCCGAUAAAUGGGAGGGGCCAGUGCUAAGCAGGGAGUACGGAGCCCCUUUGGUAGGCACUUCUACUCAAAUAACGCCCUGUCAUCUCCUCACCCUUGGCCCAGGCCCCACUCUGAACCUUCAGAAGGAGAUUGGCAAGAACAGGGACAACAUGCAGUCCUUUCCUACUUUGGAAGAAGCAGCCUGGAGAGCAGACACUGCUUGCUGCCACCUCCCCAGUAAGUCAGGGGAAGAGGGUGGUUAUACCCAGUGGCCCCUGUGCCAGGCUGUUUCAGUGCAGCCUGGAGCCCCCAAAAUACCUUCUCUCGUCUGCCCAGUUGGUGAGAACACAGGACUUACUGGGCCUGAGCUACAGGUGUGUCCCCCAUCCCAGCACCCCCCAGUGCUACCCCUCUACCCACCAGGGCCCUCAGGACAGGUAGCAGGUGAGCAGAAACUUACUGCACCAGAGCCUUUACCUCUGGGUGGGGAGACUUUGGAGGCCUUACUGACAAACACCUGUGUCCACAGAGACACCAGCUGAGGUGUUCCAGGCCCUGGAGCAACUAGGGUACCGAGCCUUCCGCCCAGGGCAGGAGCAUGCAGUCAUGCGGAUCCUGUCGGGUGAGUGUGGCCACUGGGGACUGGCUCUAGCCUUUGGACACAGCCUUGCAACUGCCUCUUGUCUGGC
rnacentral:lncRNA from 1 species